rnacentral:tRNA from 1 species
UCCUCCGUAGCUCAAUUGGCAGAGCAUUUGACUGUUAAUCAAAGGGUUUCUGGUUCAAGUCCAGACGGAGGAG